AAAGCAGCAAGGCCAUAAGCAGCAGAGCAAACAGCAGCAAAAUGUGUGGUAUUGCAUGUAUGUUCCCGCUGUCUCACACUAAAUCUUUCCUUGAAACAAGCCAAGAUCCCCACUGAAACAAUACUUAAAGGGUUUUGUUCCUUAAAUUGAUAUAUCAUAUUAAAGCAGCAUGACACGUUCUCUUUUAAAGUGAUUGACAGCCCAAAAUUGCCACUAAAGUUAUGGUUGUAUGUAAUUCAAGUCUUGAAGGUUAAAGAAUUAGAAGGCGGCUAUGUUUUCUUAUUGGACAUAUAUUUUAGUGUUUUUAAAUAACGCUCUUCUCGUAAAAUCUUCUUGUCCUGAUUGUGUCCAGUCGAGGGAUCUCAAGCCAGGAUGUACAGAAAUAUAAAGGACGUACAGUAAAGUGCAGCAGGAGGAACAUAGUGCAAACCCGCACUCAGCUUCAUGAAGCAGCAGAGAAAUCAAGAAUCAGCAGCUUGUGAAGAUCAGAGGUUCUCAAACUGUGAGAGGUAAAAGAGACGUGAGGCACAGCUCAUGGAGGCAGUUAAGGUGCAGUGCUGGGAUAACUCUAUCAGCACCGGAUCACGCUGCCCUCUGUGUCGGCACAUCGACCAACCAGUGGAAGUCCCUGGUGCACAGACAAGGACGCAAUCUCACCAGCUCCAAGCUGUGUUCGUUGGAGCACCGUCGGGGGGGUCGAACCUGGUGAACCUCUUAGCUACAAACAUCAAGUGUUAUAUUUUUAAAUUUUAUUUCUUAAUUUAUUUAUUUUUUACUUUCGUAUUCAUUCACUGUCUUGAAAUUUAUUUGUCUGCCUUUACUCUCCUUUUCCAUCUCCCGCUAAGGGAAGCCAGAGAAGUCCAGUCUAGAAUAAUAGCAGCACAGGGAAAUAUCUUGCACUUAUGGGAUUUGAGGAGGCUGUUAUGAAAAAGUAUUAGGUUCUGUGGGGUUAGAUGGGCAUGGGGAUUUUUUUCUAUUCAGGCUAGACAUUCAUAGUGUUUUUAAUUACACAAAGAAUCUGGUGUUGCCCCAGAUGAAGCCAACAGCAUGAAACUUCAAUUCCAGAGACUUGGCUGCAGGUUUUUACUUGUCUUAUGUUAAGGUUCAAAUAAAAGUAGCCCUCAGUGGCAUAAAAUGUGACGUUCUUUACUAGUUUCAGAUGGAGAUUUUACAAAAAUAUGAUGUCAAAUCCAUAAAGAAUGAAUCCUCUCAUAGGUCAGGUACUUUAUCUGUAUUUAAUAUGAAAGUCUUGGGAGAGUGAGGAUUUAAGUUUUCACAUUCCAGUAAAAUGAUUUAAUUUUGUACAAUUCUUUGUACUCGCAUGAAACUCUGACAUGUUCUGACAAGAAAUAAUGUAAUAAAACAUGAAAUUAUACAACUCAUCCAAACCAAGUCAAAAUAAACCACAAGCCAAAUGUUAUUUGAUCUUGGUUGUGGAUGACAUGUUUGUCUUAACAGCCACUUUUCUAGGAAACCGACCAUCUUUUAAAGAUCCUGUUAUGAUUGAAAAAUGGUUUUGGCAAAUAACAAUGUAAAUACCAAAUGUAUACUUUGGAAAUCUUACAGACAGUGAGGUUAUUUCCUGUCCA